rnacentral:rRNA from 1 species
GUAUGGAAUAUUGGGCAAUGGUCGGAAGACUGACCCAGCCAUGCCGCGUGCAGGAAGACGGCCCUCUGGGUUGUAAACUGCUUUUAUCUGGGAAGAAAAAGGCCAUGCGUGGCAAAUUGCCGGUACCAGAUGAAUAAGCACCGGCUAACUCCGUGCCAGCAGCCGCGGUAAUACGGAGGGUGCGAGCGUUGUCCGGAUUUAUUGGGUUUAAAGGGUGCGUAGGCGGCUGAUUAAGUCAGCGGUGAAAGACUUCGGCUUAACCGGAGCAGUGCCGUUGAUACUGGUUGGCUUGAGUGUCGGAGGGGUACAUGGAAUUGAUGGUGUAGCGGUGAAAUGCAUAGAUACCAUCAGGAACACCGAUAGCGAAGGCAUUGUACUGGCCGACAACUGACGCUGAUGCACGAAAGUGUGGGGAUCGAACAGGAUUAGAAACCCUAGUAGUCC